rnacentral:rRNA from 1 species
GUGCCAGCCGCCGCGGUAAUACGGAGGAUGCAAGCGUUAUCCGGAAUUAUUGGGCGUAAAGCGUCCGUAGGUGGUUUUUCAAGUCUGCUGUCAAAGCGCGGAGCUUAACUCCGUAAGGGCGGUGGAAACUGAAAGACUAGAGUUUGGUAGGGGUAGAGGGAAUUCCCAGUGUAGCGGUGAAAUGCGUAGAUAUUGGGAAGAACACCGGUGGCGAAAGCGCUCUACUGGGCCUGAACUGACACUGAGGGACGAAAGCUAGGGGAGCGAAAGGGAUUAGAAACCCCUGUAGUCC